rnacentral:lncRNA from 1 species
GACUCCUUGCUUGCCUUUUGUCAAUUAGAAAACAAACAUGAAAGAUGCUUCAAACUAAAGCCAUCAACUUUUCUAUUGAUGCUUUAUCAGCUCCUGUAUUGUUGGGGGCUGCAGUGUGCUCAGCUAAAAUCAACAACAGCUACAUUUUCCACCUGCCCAUCUAGGGUGGAUGUAAGCCGAAGUUGCUGCGUAAAGCUUCCAGGAAAGCUCCUAGAAGGUUGUUACUCAUUGGAGGCAGAAGCCUUUUAGUCCUUUCCAUCCUUUUUCCUGCCUGGAACGUGGAUGAUGCUCCAGCAACCAUUUUUUGAUCAUAAGGUGACCUAGCAGAUGGAUGCCACAUCCUAAGGAUAACAGAGUAGAACUAUAGAAGCAGCUUGGGAUUUUGAUGAAAUUGUGGAGCCACCAUUCCAGCCCUGUACCAUCUAUCUCUGAAGUUCGUGCUACUUGAGAAAAAGUCCAACCCUUCCCUUGUUUAAGAGAUUGUUAUUUCUGGUGUUUGCUAUUAGUCCCUGAAUUCAGUUGCCGAUACUCCCAUAAACCAGCCUGGGGUAUAAGAGCAGUGGAACAAAUGUCAGUGACUGCAUCCCUGCCGCCUCCACCCCCUUACCCCAGCCACACACAACAGUCCCUCCUCUGAUAACUGACUGGACAGCUAGCUGUGAGGCUGUUGAAACUAGGUGAAAUCUCAGAAAGUCACAAACAAGUGAUGCAUGGACCAUGCCGAGCCCACAGAUGAGUUUUGUUUGGACUAUACUUAUUUUUUUAAAAUUCUGAACUUAUUGCCAGCAUUUGAAAAUCUGGUGAUUUCCCAUAAAAAUGCUGAUUUCUUAGAAAAUCUGUUGACCCAGGAUCUUCCUUUCUUCCCGGCAACAGCCAGCUGGAACUGAGUAGCAGCUGCCCCCUGAGAUGAGGCAGGAGCUCUGUGGCUCAUCACUGCCCCCUUCACUCGUGUUACCUGUGUGGCCCUGAAGGAAGUUUGCAGCCUUCCCCGCGCCUCGCAAACCCACAGCCCAGAAAUACCCUGCGGAAUGGAAUUCCUGAAUUUCCUAUGUCUUUCUUCUUUCCCAGUCUCCCUUGACUCAACACUUAGCAUGCUGCGGUUUUUGUUUUUUCUCUCAGAAAACUGAGCAUGCACUUUUGAGAAAUGGAGAGAAAUCAG